CACACCGCCCGUCACACCAUGGGAGUGGGUUGCACCAGAAGUAGCUAGUCUAACCGCAAGGGGGACGGUUAUCACGGUGUGAUUCAUGACUGGGGUG
rnacentral:rRNA from 1 species